rnacentral:rRNA from 1 species
UACGGGGGGAGCAAGCGUUGUUCGGAUUUACUGGGCGUAAAGGGCGCGUAGGCGGCCACCGCAAGUCGACUGUGAAAUCUCCGGGCUUAACCCGGAAAGGUCAGCCGAUACUGCGGGGCUAGAGUGCAGAAGGGGCAACUGGAAUUCUCGGUGUAGCGGUGAAAUGCGUAGAUAUCGAGAGGAACACCCGUGGCGAAGGCGGCUCUCUGGAACGCAACUGACGCUGAGACGCGAAAGCGUGGGGAGCAAACAGG